AAUCUUCCGCAAUGGACGCAAGUCUGACGGAGCGACGCCGCGUGAGGGAUGACGGCCUUCGGGUUGUAAACCUCUUUCAGCAGGGAAGAAGCCUUGCCUUUUUGGGUGGGUGACGGUACUUGCAGAAGAAGCACCGGCUAACUACGUGCCAGCAGCCGCGGUAAUACGUAGGGUGCGAGCGUUGUCCGGAUUUAUUGGGCGUAAAGAGCUCGUAGGCGGCUUGUCGCGUCGGUUGUGAAAGCUCAGGGCUUAACCCUGGGUCUGCAGUCGAUACGGGCAGGCUAGAGUUCGGUAGGGGAGACUGGAAUUCCUGGUGUAGCGGUGAAAUGCGCAGAUAUCAGGAGGAACACCGGUGGCGAAGGCGGGUCUCUGGGCCGAUACUGACGCUGAGGAGCGAAAGCGUGGGGAGCGAA
rnacentral:rRNA from 1 species